rnacentral:tRNA from 1 species
UGCCCCGUCGUCUAAUGGCAGGACAGUGGCAUUUGAAGCCAUUAAUCUUGGUUCGAGUCCGAGCGGGGCAU